UGAGGGUGCUUUUAACCCAGUCUAGAAAGCUGGGAGAAUAAGGAGAGGCCAAGUCUGUUGUCAGCCGCCGCGGUAAUACCAGCUCUCCGAGUGGUGUGGAUGUUUAUUGGGCCUAAAGCAUCCGUAGCUGGCUGAGUUAGUCCCCUGUUAAACCCAACGAAUCAAUCGUUGGAUUGCGGGGGAUACUGCUCGGCUAGGGGACGAGAGAGGCCGACGGUAUUUCCGGGGUAGGGGUGAAAUCCUAUAAUCCCGGGAAGACCACCAGUGGCGAAGGCUGUCGGCUAGAACGCGCCCAACGGUGAGGGAUGAAAGCUGGGGGAGCGAACCGGAUUAGAUACCCGGGUAGUCCCAGCUGUAAACGAUGCAGGCUAGGUGUUUGGGCGGCCACGCGCCGCUCUAGUGCCGCAGGGAAGCUGUUAAGCCUGCCGCCUGGGGAGUACGGCCGCAAGGCUGAAACUUAAAGGAAUUGGCGGGGGAGCACCACAAGGGGUGAAGCUUGCGGUUUAAUUGGAGUCAACGCCGGAAAUCUCACCGGGGGCGACAGCAGGGUGAAGGCCAGAUUAAAGGUCUUGCCAGACGAGUGAGAGGAGGGCAUG
rnacentral:rRNA from 1 species